rnacentral:rRNA from 1 species
GAUGAACGCUGGCGGCAUGCCUAACACAUGCAAGUCGAUCGGAUGAGCUCUUCGUACUCCACGAGAGGCCGACGGCUGAGUAACGCGUACGAACACACCUUGCUGUGAGUGAUAAGACACGGAAAGGAGUUCUAGUACCUCAUACGGACUUCGGAUUAGAGCAGUUAUGGGCUGAAGGAGUUGCGGGCGUCAUAAUACAUAGUUGUUGAGGUAAUGGCUCACCAAGUGGAUGAUGUGUAGCUGGUCUGAGAGGAUGGGCAGACAGUCUGGAACUGAGACACGGUGCAGACUAUUAGGGGAGGGAGCAGUGAGGAAUAUAUCACUACGGGCGAAGGCUUGAUGGAGCAAUGACGCGUGAAGGAUGAAGGCCCUCAGGUUGUAAACUGAUUUUAUAAGAGGAUAUUAUGACGGUAACUUCUGAAUAAGGGACGGCUAACUACGUG